rnacentral:rRNA from 1 species
UACGUAGGGUGCUAGCGUUGUUCGGAAUCAUUGGGCGUAAAGCGCGUGCAGGCUGUUAGUUAAGUUGGGUGUGAAAUCCCUCGGCUCAACCGAGGAAGUGCAUCCAAAACUAGCUAGCUAGAGAAUGGUAGAGGAAGGUGGAAUUCCUAGUGUAGAGGUGAAAUUCGUAGAUAUUGGGAAGAACACCGGUGGCGAAGGCGGCGACCUGGUCCAUUACUGACGCUGAGGCGCGACAGCGUGGGGAGCAAACAGGAUUGAGAA